rnacentral:snoRNA from 2 species
ACGACCUUACUUGAACAGGAUCUGUUCUACAGGCUCGUACCACUGUAUCCUUGAUUUCUCAGGAGACACGAAAUCAAGUCUGGUGGAUGACUCGUGGCCAUUAGAUCAGACA